GGGUCACGUCACCUCAGGAUCACGUGACCUCAGUGGGGUCACGUGACCUUAGGGGGUCAUGUGACCUCAGGGGUCACGUGACCUUAGGGGUCACGUGAC
rnacentral:pre_miRNA from 1 species